UUGGAAUUACUCUGUGAUGAUUUCAAAGAAAAUUUUCUUCUCUAAACACUCUUAUCCAAAGGCACUGUGGAUUAGCUUGCAAAGGUCUGGAGAAAAAUUUUAGAGAGAGAAUGAAGAAAAAAAUGGGGAGAAGAUAGAAGCAGAGAAUUAGAGAAGAGCAAAGAUGAAGAGAAACACAGAACGCUUGUUCAAAGAGAAAUCACAGUAAAGAGAAGAACCCAAGGAUGUGAGAGAAUGUUUUGAACAGAAUGAUGGAAGAAUAACACCCCUAGGAGAAAUGAAGAUACUUUCUCAUCCCUGGUGCAUCUGAGGGUCCAGCUACAAGUGAUCAUGACAAGAGAGGAUAUUUUUUGUCAAGAGUGAGCAUGCAGGGAACCAGCAGUUAGCGUAAUGGCUAUGUCGCUGGACUCCCACAUAGUCGAC